GCCAGGCAUGGUGAUGCAUGCCUAUAAUCCCAGUGACUUGGGAGGCCAAAGCAGGAGGAUCAUAAGAUUGAGGUCACCUGGGCAAUUUAGCAAGAUCCUAUCU
rnacentral:sRNA from 1 species